ACGCUCGACACCUACGGGGGGCAGCAGUGGGGAAUACUGCACAAUGGGGGAAACCCUGAUGCAGCGACGCCGCGUGAGCGAAGAAGUAUUUCGGUAUGUAAAGCUCUAUCAGCAGGGAAGAAACUGACGGUACCUGACUAAGAAGCACCGGCUAAAUACGUGUCAGCAGCCGCGGUAAUCUGAGCGGGCUGGCAAGGC
rnacentral:rRNA from 1 species